GUAGGGGGCAAGCGUUGUCCGGAAUUAUUGGGCGUAAAGCGCGCGCAGGCGGUUCUUUAAGUCUGAUGUGAAAUCUUGUGGCUCAACCACAAGCGGUCAUUGGAAACUGGGGAACUUGAGUACAGAAGAGGAGAGUGGAAUUCCACGUGUAGCGGUGAAAUGCGUAGAUAUGUGGAGGAACACCAGUGGCGAAGGCGACUCUCUGGUCUGUAACUGACGCUGAGGCGCGAAAGCGUGGGGGGAGCAAACAGGAUUAGAUACCCUGGUAGUCCACGCCGUAAACGAUGAGUGCUAGGUGUUAGGGGGUUUCCGCCCCUUAGUGCUGCAGCUAACGCAUUAAGCACUCCCGCCCUGGGAGUACGGCCGCAAGGCUG
rnacentral:rRNA from 1 species